rnacentral:lncRNA from 1 species
CAAACCCCUUUUUUGAGCUCAGACGUACGAUCCCAAAAAUCAUCUCCGGGAAAGAAGAUGGCGGGGCUACUAGCAUGGGCGGCGGACGUGGUGGGAGGCAAUGGCGGAGGGAGGACCGACGAAGAAAACUACCCAGAUUCUAUUCCACUAAUCUUCACCCCCGAACAACAGACAUACGUUCAAGAACUGGAUCGGAAGGCUGCUUCUUUAAAUCGUUCGAUCCAAGAUCUACGGCAGAGAUUGCCUCCUCCGGACAUCUCGCAACGCCUGCCACACCUCCACGCGCACUCUCUGGCCUCCAAUGCCGCCCUCGCUCUCCAACUUAAUGCCCACUCCACUACUAAACAACAGGUCCUUCCUUCAACCCUCCUGAUUUUAUUACAAAAAAAAUAGUCUCAUUCCUCUGGGUAUUGGUGUAUUUAAUAAAAUUUCGUUCCUAUAGAUUUGUGAGAAUUUUGGCGUGGAUGGUUCUUACUUCUUACAAUUUCCUAACACGACGUAGUAGUUAGAGAUAACCCUAAGGUUUUGGGAAAUUGAUCUUUUUCUUGUGUUGGUGCUUGUAUUUCCACAAUUCUAAAGUACGUUUCAAAUUGAAAAUCAACUUAAUCAGGGGCAGAAAAGGUGAAAAUCAAAAGAAUUUAAAUAAUUCGAGAAGGUAUCGAAGCUCGUAGCAUAAUGCCAAGUAUUGCAAUGCAGUAAUUUUCUGCAUAUUCAAAACUGUGAUUCACGAACUUCUUUUUGUGGUUUGGUUUCUUUUUCCAUUUUUUCUCCCUCACUACUUAAUGAAAUAAUUCAUUAUUGUACAAUGGGAUUUUUCUUCGGAAUACCCUCCUUAAGUUACUUUUUGGUUCGUGGAUGUGCAAAACUGAUUGUUAGUUAUAAUUAUUCUCUCAGGUACAGCAAAGAGAAGUUAGGUUGCAGGAAGAAAACACUGAGUAUGAAAAUGCUAUAUCCAGUUGUGAAAAUAAAAUACAGGAGAAGUUGCAGGAAGCAGAUGCACUUCAAAGUAAAUUGAAGGUUAGAGGUGUUUCCAAAGCUUUACAGAUUUUGCGAGUUUUCAGAAAUAUUGUUUUUCCUUUUAGUUGCUCUACUGAUUCACCACUAUCUGUAACAGUGUGUAGUGUAAAAUACUUCUUUUCUGCAUAAUCAAUCUCUACUUUGUUAUCUGUACAAGUUCUCAUAAGCUCUUUCAAAAGCAAAAUUUGAAGUAAUUCCAUGACGAAAAGAAGAUAAACUCCUAUAUAAUGUGGAUGUAUAUUUCUUGUCAUUUUAUAUUCUGCUUCAAUUUUGCCCAUACAACUGUAACUUAGAUAUAAUAGAUGAAUAAUGUUAAUUAAAAUUUCUUCCUAACCCAUAAACUUGAUUUAAUUCUAAUAUAGUUGCUUUUAGUCUGAUUCUUGGUUCCCUUCAUCCUGCCUUUGAUGAACGAUAUUGGGACAUGAGCUAGACUGGACUUCAACUCUAUAGGGAUAAUGAUGAUCUGGUUACAUCAGCGUCAACAACUAAAUUGAGGACAGAGGCUUAGAGAGCUAUUGUUGUUGACCUUUAAUCUUUGAACUCUACAUAUUCCUAUUAGUUCCUCCACACACGAGGAUGACAUUCAAUAAAUUCACCAAUAUUUUUGUACAUGGUUUAAAAUAACCCAAUUGAGGCCCACCUUGAUGCCCACCUCAAAGGGAGGUGAACAAAGAAUGCGUCGAGGCGCUAAUUCUGAGGUAGUUUUUGGAGGUGUGCGCUACUUAAUAUUUUACGCUCUUUACUUCGCUUUAUGGACGGGCUCGCAAAAAAAUUUAAAAUUCUUAUUGACCAACUUUGGGAGUAGCCCACUAUCACUAUUAUAACAUCAAAAGGUUAUGUUUCUUAUAGACUCAAUUUGAGAGUACUCCACUACUCACUAACUAAAGGUUUCUUUUUUUGUUACUUUAUAUAUUUUUCUUUUCAUUGUUUGCAUACUUAAAUUGUUAUAUUGUGGAUUUGAAGAUUGUUUAUGGUUUAGUAUGCUCUUAUUUUGCAUUUCAAUAGUUUUAUGACUUUUAUUUGGUAUACACCUUGAGGUUUAUGCCUCAUCUCACUUAAGGUAAAAUGCCUUAUUCUCGAUUUGGCUUUUUAAGCAUUGGUUUCUAAGCAAUAGGAUUCCACUAUUACAAUUUGACCAAAUAAUUUUCAUCUCAUUACAAUCAAAAAUGUUUUGCAACUCAAGAUUUAUUCAAUCAUCACCUGGUCCGAUAUAGGACAACUGUGGGAAAAGUUGAAAUGAAGCUGUUUACAUAUGCAGUAGUAAAUAUCGUAUCAAGGUCUAAAAGAAGUGAAUAAGGCAGAUUUUGUGUUCAGAUAGUGUUCAAUUUGAUAGGUAUGAACUAUGACAUGAGAUCACAAUUUGCUUCUCAUGUUCUAGGGUUUCCCUUUGAGAGGUCAAAACUUUUGUGCUUCAAUGACUUUAGGUGGCAAAAGAGAGUGAAAGAAGAUUUGACUCUUUCAUGGUUACUGCAAAAAUAAGGUAAAUAGAACUAGAAAUGACUGCAAUAUUUUCUACUCGUCUAUCCUAGUAAAGUUUGAAUAUUUCAAUCAUCAGGUGAUUUCUAUUCACAUUUAGAACUUCACUUCCUUGUUUGACCACAAUACUGUUACAUAUGUGGCUUGCCUAUGCCACUUGCCACAUGGAAAUGCCAAAAACAGUAUUGUCUUGUGGUGUGUGAAAAAUUGCUUAGGUUCACAUCUUCUAGAGUUCUCAGUGAUUUUAUUAUAAUAUGCUAUGGGAGGUUUUUCACCACACUUUUUCUGUUGUAAUAUUAGUUAUCAUUUGCUGUCAACAUGAUUAUAUUUGUUUUGCUUUCUAAUUCUAACUACUACCAGAAAUGACUCGCUGCUACAAAGGCCCUACAUGAGAUACUUAUAUCCUUUUCGAGUUAACAUUAACAUUACCUGACAGUCAGCAUUUUUAAAAAAGAAUGGAAGUUGUUAUAUUAAUUUACCCAUGGCCUUACUUUAUGAUUCCUCUUUAUUUCUUCAUCUGAGUGUAGAAAAAAAUCAUUUCAUAUUUUUUGCAAACGGUGCAUUAUUUGUGUAUUAAUAUGUGGUCCUAUUUCUUGUAUUAUCUAUCUGAUAAGUUAUUUUCUUGCUAUUGACGCAGCUAAGAGGAAGUAAAUCACUACAUUAGUUGUUUCUGGUAAUUUUCAUUUUUUAUAGGAUUUUUUUUUUCUUCCCUCUAGGAUUCUAUGAUAAUAAACAAGUUGCUUUUGAUAAUUUUCUUUAUUUAGGAUUCUACUUUUUCAUUUUAGGAUCAGAUUAGGCUACAUUUUGAAUUGUAUAAAUGGUACCACUAUGGUCUUUUAGAAGGGUGAAUUAUUGAAUAAAAAAUUAAGUUUUUUUAUUUCUGGCUUCUCAUUGUUCUACAUGAAUGAACGAGUUAAAAUUCUUGGUAUUCUGUGUGAAUCAAUGAGUUUUUUUUUGCCUAUUUCUUGAAAUUUACGAGCUCCUUCAUAUGCGCUUAAAUGAUUUCCCUGCUUCAUACACCCAUGCAUUUACACUAGUUUAUAGCAAAUAAAAAUGAAAAAAACAACCUAAGUUAACUCCAGAUUGUCUUGUUAUAGAGCAUGACCAUGCUGGUGAGUCAAGACAAUGUGUGGAUCCAGAUAUUAUGCAAAUCUACAUUUUCACGUCUUUGUGAUUGAAAACUUUCUAAUUAAAGUCAACUUGUAGUUGUUUUGGCCUUAUGAUUUAUCUUUAAAUUAGUUACUUUAUCCUAAAAUUUCUUCAUUAUCAAAUUUAUAUGUUAAUAGUUUAUGUCUUCCAGGAAAUGGACUUGAUUGAAGAGAACUUAAUAGCAGAGCUGGAACAAGCAAAAGUUGUAGUGACUGCAAGUCGGCCUGGUGAAUCAAAUGAACUGUUUAUUGAAUCCAAAUCAGUCAUUGAAUCUCUAGACGACGCAGAAGCUCCUAGACUAUCAUUGUUGGAGAAGUUAGAGAUGAAGAAAAAAGAACUGGUCCGUUGAGUGAUUCAUUGUCAUAUUCACCAUAUAUGUAUGAAGUGAAUUUAAACUGAUGGAUAUUUUGUUUCUUCUUAGGCUUUGAUGGAAGAAAUUGUUCAAGACAUGGAGAAAAAGUGGGCGGAGGUUCAAGCUAAUGCAUUGAAGCAACCAACUCCUGGUAUAAUUUUUCAUCUUUUAUGUAGCAUGGAAUGUGGAUUGCAAGUAUUCAAUUCCUAGCAUGUAGCAUGCUAAAUUGACGAGCAUAUAUCUGCUUUUGACAUGCCCCAUUUACUUCCAUUUUUAAGUUGGAAUCUUAGCACGUAUCACUUUUGAUAUAUUCGGCGUGCUUUAAAUUUGAUGCAAUUCCAUGCAGCUCAGCGAGAGAAGGCUUUGGAUAAACAGCUUCACAGCCUAAUUGAACAACUUGCAGCAAAGCAGGUUAGAAUUUUUUAUUUUAUCUAAAUAUAAAUGAUGUAAUAAGCUUUUCUUUUGGCAACUCCUGUAAUGAUGUUAUCAAUUUGUGUUCUUUAAAGUGACAUCUGGUAGAAAAUUAAAUUACUAUACUAGUUUCUCUUUUUCUUCUUUGCAUUUCAGGCUCAAGCAGAAGGCCUUAUCAGUGAAAUUCAUCUGAGGGAGAUUGAGUUUGAAAGAUUAAAUGGACUGUGGAAAAGAAUCCAGACGCGUAACACAGAUCUGAAUACAGCAAGGAAUAGGUUUGGAAUAAGCAGCUCUGACAGUGGACCUGUUUCUUCUAAUUACACUGUUGAUCCUGACCACAAGCUUCCUUUCCAUAUAGCUGGUCGAAAUGACAGUUUGCAGAGGUUGAUGCUACUCAGGUCGGCUUUUGUGCUUUACAUUUUAGCUCUGCAUGUAUUGGUAUUCAUUAAAAUUUCAUUCUAAAUGCCCCCCCUCAUACCAAAUUUCUCUUUAUUGUUGGUCUCAUUUCUGGUUUUGAUGUCAAUACAUUCUUAUGUAUAUAUUCUACUCCUGAUUGUACAAAAACUCAUGGCGUGCUUAGUCAAACUAUUGGCUCAAUUUAACAAAGGGGAUGAAACUUUUCUUUUGAUGUGCACUCUAGCUAUAUAAUUAUUUUUCCCUCGUCUUUCUCACCCUUGCAAUUUUAUGAUUCUGCUACUAUGUUAAGUUACUUGGCAAUUGGCAUUAGAAACCUGGUUUCGUUGCAAAACAUAAGAGUGGGAUAAAGGAAAAAAUGGCCAAGCAGAACUGCAGAACAAUAAGAUGGAGCAAGUUUGAAAUAUGAUGGCUUGAAGGUUCUUUUGUCCCACCUUUGUGGCCUUUUUAUCCUUUUGUUAAUGUCCAUCAAUUC